CGGGGUGAGUAAUGCUUGGGAAUCUGGCUUAUGGAGGGGGGUAACUACGGGAAACUGUAGCUAAUACCGCGUAGUAUCGGAAGAUGAAAGUGCGGGACCGUAAGGCCGCAUGCCAUGAGAUGAGCCCAAGUGGGAUUAGGUAGUUGGUGGGGUAAAGGCCUACCAAGCCUGCGAUCUCUAGCUGGCCUGAGAGGAUGGCCAGCCACACUGGAACUGAGACACGGUCCAG
rnacentral:rRNA from 1 species